rnacentral:rRNA from 1 species
GGUUAAGCGACUAAGCGUACACGGUGGAUGCCCUGGCAGUCAGAGGCGAUGAAGGACGUGCUAAUCUGCGAAAAGCGCCGGCGAGGUGAUAUGAACCUUUGACCCGGCGAUGUCCGAAUGGGGAAACCCAGUGCAAUUCGUUGCACUAUCGUUAACUGAAUACAUAGGUUAACGAGGCGAACCGGGGGAACUGAAACAUCUAAGUACCCCGAGGAAAAGAAAUCAACCGAGAUUCCCCCAGUAGCGGCGAGCGAACGGGGAGGAGCCCAGAGUCUGAAUCAGUUUGUGUGUUAGUGGAAGCGUCUGGAAAGUCGCACGAUACAGGGUGAAAGUCCCGUACACGAAAGCACACAGGCUGUGAACUCGAAGAGUAGGGCGGGACACGUGGUAUCCUGUCUGAAUAUGGGGGGACCAUCCUCCAAGGCUAAAUACUCCUGACUGACCGAUAGUGAACCAGUACCGUGAGGGAAAGGCGAAAAGAACCCCGGCGAGGGGAGUGAAAAAGAACCUGAAACCGUGUACGUACAAGCAGUGGGAGCCCCACCACUAAGCCAGUGGUGAGUCCACGUCAGCAUCCUUUGCCGAAGGUAAGGUUAACGGAGCGCAAGCGACGUUCAACCUCAAAAGAAGCAGAGGGGGCUUAGUGGUGGGGUGACUGCGUACCUUUUGUAUAAUGGGUCAGCGACUUAUAUUCUGUAGCAAGGUUAACCGAAUAGGGGAGCCGAAGGGAAACCGAGUCUUAACUGGGCGUUAAGU